GUCAGUGAAGCGCAAUGCCUUACGUCCGCAAAAUACACCUGCCAAAAGAUAUUGGCAGCCAGGACAGCAGUGCUUUAGACUACGACUAUGAAUAACUUACACUUGAUAAGAAAAGUGGCAUACCAACUGAUAUCAAAACAUCGUCGUGGAAACUACAAAAUAUAUAUUUCUUUCUCCGUGAGAAAUGACCGCUAAAGCAAGAAAAAAGGAAUAAAUGACGCCAAAUACGAUAUUGCUUACUUAUCUUGCGCGAAAACAAAUCGACCAAAGAAAGAAAAAGGCGAACAAGCAAUUUAAAAGGCCCUGUCAGCAUUCCAAGUGAAAGAACAUUGAGUAUGGCGUAUGAAACGAUGGCUUGACGGGAGCUUUCGCAUCAAAUUAGAGGACGAAUGAAAGAGAAUUGUGUUUCUCCGACCGCGAGUUAAAUGACAUACUAUGGACUUUCUAAGCCGAUGUUCAAUUUGGAACAAGUCUUUCAUUCAUUCAUUCUUCAAGUGUAACUUGGCAAAUUUUGCGAUGAACCAUGAGUUCUCGACCCAUUCUUUGACUGGUUGCAGAGACAUUUCCCGCGCUAUUUUUGACUACACUCUUACAGUUGAGCUAACGUAUUAUGCCUCAGUGAAGUAUUAAGCAAUUUCAUUGCGAAGCUCUUGUAUUAUUGAAUUGGUUAUUACAAUCUGUAGCUAUCGGGAUAUUAGUUGGCCUUGUAUGUUGACAAUACAGUGAUAAUACCAUGA